rnacentral:rRNA from 1 species
AAUAUGGGGCAAUGGGGGAAACCCUGACCCAGCAACGCCGCGUGAGUGAAGAAGGUCUUCGGAUUGUAAAGCUCUGUCUUCAGGGACGAAGAAGAUGACGGUACCUGGAGAGGAAGCCCCGGCUAACUACGUGCCAGCAGCCGCGGUAAUACGUAGGGGGCGAGCGUUGUCCGGAAUUAUUGGGCGUAAAGGGUGCGUAGGCGGCCUUUUAAGUCAGAUGUGAAAGGCUACGGCUUAACCGUAGUUAGCAUUUGAAACUAAAAGGCUUGAGUGCAGGAGAGGAGAGUGGAAUUCCUAGUGUAGCGGUGAAAUGCGUAGAUAUUAGGAGGAACACCAGUGGCGAAGGCGACUUUCUGGUCUGUAACUGACGCUGAGGCGCGAAAGCGUGGGGAGCAAACAGG